ACCAGGCCGCGGCCGCUGGGCGUGCACGAACCGUGCGCGGCUGACCCGCGCCCUCUAGCGGCGGCGCGGGGAGCGGCCGCCAUGUUCUGCCCCGGGGAGCGGCGGCAGGGCGGCGCCGCCCGCCAUUGGCCAGUUCAAGCGCCGCGGCCGGGCCAAUCGGGGCGGCGCCGGGAGAUUCAAACGCUCGUUGCGCGGCGGCGGCUAUGGCGGCGCGUGCGGCUCCGCAGCUCCCGGCCAGCCGUAGGUCCGAGCCUGCAUUCCGCGAACAAAGACGACAGAAAGUCCAGGAGUAUCUAUCAAGAAAGAAGACUUUUUCUGGUGUGACCAUUCAAGAAAAGCAGACAUCGAUCAGUAGCAGAACUAGGAGAGCAACUACCAGUAAACUUCAAGAGAAGUUACAGCUCUCAACAUCUCCCAAGCCAGAAAUGGUAAGUUUUUGACUGAUACUUAAAUACUGAUGGCACUCUUGUUUCUAUGGCUACAACAUUCCACUUACUUAAGUCUAUGUUGUAUGACUCCCAGAGCAUGAGAAGUUUGCAGGUGCAGAGGUGUGGCUUGUUAGAACUUUGUUUAGUCACUGCUUAUUAUAUGCUUUAUGGAAAGCUGCGAUAUUACAGUAGGAAAUGGAUUAUAUUGAUG
rnacentral:lncRNA from 1 species